rnacentral:rRNA from 1 species
AGAGUUUGAUCCUGGCUCAGAAUGAACGUUGGCGGCGUGGAUUAGGCAUGCAAGUCGAACGGGCCUGGUUUUCGGAUCAGGUCAGUGGCGCAAGGGUGAGUAAUGCGACGGCAACCAACCCCAUGGUUGGGCAUAGCCGCGGGAAACUGCGGGUAAUUUCCAGCGACGUUCGCGGCGGGCAUCCGCUGCGAACCAAAGCUUCGGCGCCGUGGGACGGACCGUCGUGGUAUUAGGUUGUUGGCGGGGUAAUGGCCCACCAAGCCUCUGAUGCCUACCGGGCGUGCGAGCGUGGCCCGGCACACUGGGACUGAGACACUGCCCAGACUCCUACGGGAGGCUGCAGUCGAGAAUCUUCGGCAAUGGGCGCAAGCCUGACCGAGCGACGCCGCGUGGAGGAUGAAGGCCUUCGGGUUGUAAACUCCUGUCGAGGGGGAGGAAGGCGCAAGCUUGACCUAUCCCUGGAGGAAGCACGGGCUAAGUUCGUGCCAGCAGCCGCGGUAAGACGAACCGUGCUAACGUUAUUCGGAAUCACUGGGCUUAAAGCGCGUGUAGGCGGAUGGGGACGUCGGUUGCUGAAAUCCCCCGGCUCAACCGGGGAACGGGCGCCGAAACGCCCCGUCUCGAGGGACGUAGGGGGACCUGGAACUUCCGGUGGAGCGGUAAAAUGCGUUGAGAUCGGAAGGAACGCCCGUGGCGAAAGCGAGGUCCUGGACGUUUUCUGACGCUGAGACGCGAAAGCUAGGGUAGCGAACGGGAUUAGAUACCCCGGUAGUCCUAGCUGUAAACGAUGGGCACUGGGUAGGGGGCUCGCCGAUGGGCUCCCUGCCGCAGGAAACCGUGAAGUGCCCGCCUGGGAGUAUGGUCGCA